AAAAUAACAUUGAAGGGGAGAGUAUCAAUCUUUAAUUGUUUAGAGCGAGUCGGGUCUGGUGGAAGCCGAUAAACAGAAGAUUGAGAAGAUCACCCUGGAGUUAGUAGGUGAAUUUAUUAGCCUACUCGUAUUUCUGCGUUAAAGAUUUCUUAAGAUGAUAUCAUUUGAUAUUAAUUAGGGUGGUACCGCGGUCUCUCGUCCCUUUA
rnacentral:ncRNA from 1 species